rnacentral:lncRNA from 12 species
GGUUCAGACAACUGGAAUUCAGCUCUAAACCAUGGAUAUCCUGUUAGGAGGAGUUCCCAGCACAAAGAAAGGCGUCAUCUACAAUCUUCCAGCACAGAGAAAAGAAUUCCUGAUUCAAUCUGACAAUUUCACUUCUGCUAUGAGAACAUCAU